GUUUUUUAGUGUUCGGGAGCAAGGCCGUCAAUCUAUAGCAGAUCACAAUGCUGAUGAGAACAGACAAGGGUCUCAAGUUGACACAUGUCGUAACACGAAUUUUUCUUCAGGCAAUAAUUGUACUAAAGAGAAAUUGGAAGGACUGGAACGUAACUUAU